rnacentral:rRNA from 1 species
GAUGAACGCUGGCGGCGUGCCUAAUACAUGCAAGUCGAGCGAACGGACGAGAAGCUUGCUUCUCUGAUGUUAGCGGCGGACGGGUGAGUAACACGUGGAUAACCUACCUAUAAGACUGGGAUAACUUCGGGAAACCGUAGCUAAUACCGGAUAAUAUUUUGAACCGCAUGGUUCAAAAGUGAAAGACGGUCUUGCUGUCACUUAUAGAUGGAUCCGCGCUGCAUUAGCUAGUUGGUAAGGUAACGGCUUACCAAGGCAACGAUGCAUAGCCGACCUGAGAGGGUGAUCGGCCACACUGGAACUGAGACACGGUCCUGACUCCUACGGGAGGCAGCAGUAGGGAAUCUACCGCAAUGGGCGAAAGCCUGACGGAGCAACGCCGCGUGAGUGAUGAAGGGCUUCGGAUCGUAAAACUGUGUUAUUAGGGAAGAACAUAUGUGUAAGUAACUGUGCACAUCUUGACGGUACCGAAUCAGAAAACCACGGCUAACUACGU